GCGGGGUGCCCGGCUUCGCCUCGCCUCUCAAGGCUCCCGUGACCCAGGGGUCACCGCCGCCUUUCGAGCCACGCCCCCCUUCCCAGCUGGCCGCUCCAGGCACCUAUAGUACUUGAGGUCGUGGGCGGAUGGGCCUCUUUCGGGGCGCAGGGGGGCCCGGGCUUCUUCAGCAUCGGCUCCGGGCCGGGCCGGGCAGCGUUCGAACCCUGCCCGCGCACCGGCCGGCGUGGGGAAAAGUGUGGGCCCCAGCGGUUCUCAAACCUCCGCAGGCUUGUCAAGGGGCUACUACGAUCGGCGUUACGAAGCGCCCAGCGGGCAGAAACCGUGCGUCGCUCCCUCGCCGGUUUGCUCUCGGAGCACAGACAGGAGCCGCAUUGGUUCUUCUUUCCAGGGCCCUCGCACUAUUGUUCGUGGGAAUCUCUGCAUCGGAACCGCGCCCCCUCGUGGCCCGCACUGCCUCCUGCACUUUGGCUCAGAUCCUUCAACUUGAAUUUUGUGUAUUGCUCCACAUAGAAGUCAUCUCCAAACUGUCUUUCUUUUCUACUUGGAUAAGCUUGGAAUUCUGUUUGCAUCCGCUUCUCCUUCUUUCCUCUGGAGAAAAGUGUGUCAGUAUCUACUGGCAUUGUUAAGGAUCCGCCAAGGCUCCUUAUAUCAGAUAUGAAUCUUGCUUGACCAACCACACUGGAUACACCCAAGCCUUCCAUUCUUGUCCAGCUCGUGAGAUGGAAGUCCUCUCCACAGGCCUGUCAACCAAGCUGCAUCACAACCAAGUCACCAAAAGACUAACUGAUGAAACAAGUUCUAGCUUCAGCAUCUCCUGUAAAGGGAUCAGGGAACCACUGAACCAAUGAACGUUCAUAAUUUACAUUCUCUCAUAAUCUGGAUUCAAAUGGCAUGUGAUUUGUUUGUCUCCCCAUGGGAAUGUCUCUAUGUUCAGAGAAAGCAUGAAGCUUGCCAUUUCAGCAAGACCAUCCUCUGAAGCAAUUCCCCAGAUCAAUUCUGUCACUCUCCACCCUGAGUAAAUGAAAGAGGGGCUUCUGGCACCAACUUGGACUCAGACCCUCCACUUCAAAAAAGCCGCUGGGUGGUCCUUUCUGAAUCUGUCUGUCAGCAACAACCACAAAGUUUUACGGACCAGUAACUCCAAUAAGUGUUCAAAAGAAUGUGUUUCUGAAACCAGGGCUUUCUAUUCUAGUACUAAGAGCUAUCCCCAAUAGGUAUUUGAAAAUCUGUAACUCAAUACAAAAAUUCACAUCUGUGCCCUAAGCUAUUUAUUUCGAUUAAUAAAAUAAAAAUGUACUGGAUUCAAGUGAUCACUCCUAUACUGGAUCGACUUUACCACUUAAUUUAGGAUGUGAAAUUUACGUACAUCAUACACAUUAUCACGGAGUUUCAGACUAUCCAAAAUACAAGAGACAACAAAAUAUUAAGUGUAAGUAGUCACUAAACGUGGAUUUAGGUUUCAAGAAUAUUAUUUAAAAUUUUAAUGAACAUAUAUAACAUAUUUUUUAGUGUCGACUACCAUUUGGUAAGAAAAAACAU